UCAUCGAAUCUUUGAACGCACCUUGCGCUCUUUGGUAUUCCGAAGAGCAUGCCUGUUUGAGUGUCAUGAAAAUAUCAACCUUGACUUGGGUUUAGUGCUCUUGUCUUGGCUUGGAUUUGGCUGUUUGCCGCUCGAAAGAGUCGGCUCAGCUUAAAAGUAUUAGCUGGAUCUGUCUUUGAGACUUGGUUUGACUUGGCGUAAUAAGUUAUUUCGCUGAGGACAAUCUUCGGAUUGGCCGAGUUUCUGGGACGUUUGUCCGCUUUCUAAUACAAGUUCUAGCUCGCUAGACAUGACUUUUUUAUUAUCUGGCCUCAAAUCAGGUAGGACUACCCGCUGAACUUAAGCAUAUCAAUAAGCGGAGGAAAAGAAACUAACAAGGAUUCCCCUAGUAACGGCGAGUGAAGCGGGAAGAGCUCAAAUUUGAAAUCUGGUGGCCUCAGGCUAUCCGAGUUGUAAUCUAUAGAAACAUUUUCCGCGUUGGCCCAUGUACAAGUCUCUUGGAAUAGAGCGUCAUAGAGGGUGAGAAUCCCGUCCUUGACAUGGACUACCAGUGCUUUGUGAUAUGUUUUCAACGAGUCGAGUUGUUUGGGAAUGCAGCUCAAAAUGGGUGGUAAAUUCCAUCUAAAGCUAAAUAUUGGCGAGAGACCGAUAGCGAACAAGUACCGUGAGGGAAAGAUGAAAAGCACUUUGGAAAGAGAGUUAAACAGUAUGUGAAAUUGUUGAAAGGGAAACGAUUGAAGUCAGUCGUGUCUAUUGGACUCAGCCGGUUCUGCCGGUGUACUUCCUUUAGAUGGGGUCAACAUCAGUUUUGAUCGCUGGAAAAGGGCAGGAGGAAUGUAGCACUCUCGGGUGAACUUAUAGCCUUCUGUCGCAUACAGUGGUUGGGACUGAGGAACGCAGCUUGCCUUUAUGGCC
rnacentral:rRNA from 1 species